UACAGAGGGUGCGAGCGUUAAUCGGAAUUACUGGGCGUAAAGCGUGCGUAGACGGUUUCGUAAGUCGGGUGUGAAAUCCCCGGGCUCAACCUGGGAAUUGCAUUCGAAACUGCGAGGCUAGGGUACGGAAGAGGGAAGCGGAAUUUCUGGUGUAGCGGUGAAAUGCGUAGAUAUCGGGAGGAACACCUGUGGCGAAGGCGGCCCCCUGGUUGGAUACUGACGCUGAUACGCGAAAGCGUGGGGAGCAAACAGG
rnacentral:rRNA from 1 species